AUACGGAGGGUGCAAGCGUUGUUCGGAAUUACUGGGCGUAAAGGGCGUGUAGGCGGAUCGAGUAGUCGGGUGUGAAAGCCCUGGGCUCAACCCAGGAAGUGCGCCCGAAACCAUCGGUCUGGAGUUUCGGAGGGGAGCGGGGAAUUCCCAGUGUAGAGGUGAAAUUCGUAGAUAUUGGGAGGAACACCGGUGCCGAAGGGGCCGCUCUGGACGAAUACUGACGCUGAGACGCGAAAGCGUGGGUAGCAAACAGGAUUAGAAACCCCGGUAGUCC
rnacentral:rRNA from 1 species